rnacentral:rRNA from 1 species
AUUGAACGCUGGCGGCAGGCCUAACACAUGCAAGUCGAGCGGAGAGGCGGACGGGUGAGUAAUUCCUAGGAAUCUGCCUGGUAGUGGGGGAUAACGUCCGGAAACGGGCGCUAAUACCGCAUACUAUCAGAUGAGCGUAGGUCGGAUUAGCUAGUUGGUGGGGUAAAGGCCUACAAAGGCGACGCUCCGUAACUGGUCUGAGAGGAUGAUCAGUCACACGGGAACGGGUACACGGUCCAGACUCCGACGGGAUGCAGCAGUGGGUAAUAUUGGACAAUGGGCGAAAGCCUGAUCCAGCCAUGCCGCGUGUGUGAAGAAGGUCUUCGGAUUGUAAAGCACUUUAAGUUGGGAGGCGUUACCAACAGAAGAAGCACCGGCUAACUUCGUGCCAGCCGCCGCGGUAAUAC